rnacentral:rRNA from 1 species
CACGUAGGGCGCGAGCGUUGUCCGGAAUUAUUGGGCGUAAAGAGCUCGUAGGCGGCCUGUUGCGUCCGCUGUGAAAGCCCGGGGCUUAACCCCGGGUCGGCAGUGGAUACGGGCAGGCUAGAGGUAGGUAGGGGAGAAUGGAAUUCCCGUGUAGCGGUGAAAUGCGCAGAUAGUCGGGAGGAACACCGGUGGCGAAGGCGGCGACCUGGGCCAAUAUUGACGCUGAGGUGCGAAAGCGUGGGGAGCAAACAGG